ACGGUUCGUAUUAUAUGCGAUAAAAGGGAACGCCGUUAGAAUCGGCGACAGUACCCGCUGCUGUAAUUCCUGUUGAACCCGUACACUAUGUCACUGCAAAGUUCUGUGCUUCGCGGGAAGGCGUACGAGAGGAGGGAUAAGUCAGAAGACCUGCCAUUUCUUUU
rnacentral:ncRNA from 1 species